UACGUAGGGGCCUAGCGUUGUCCGGAUUUAUUGGGCGUAAAGAGCUCGUAGGCGGUUCGGCAAGUCGGAUGUGAAAUCUCCACGCUUAACGUGGAGGGGCCAUUCGAAACUGCCGUGACUCGAGUCCGGUAGGGGAGUGUGGAAUUCCUGGUGUAGCGGUGAAAUGCGCAGAUAUCAGGAGGAACACCAGUAGCGAAGGCGGCACUCUGGGCCGGCAUUGACGCUGAGGAGCGAAAGCCAGGGGAGCAAACGGG
rnacentral:rRNA from 1 species